UACGUAGGGGGCAAGCGUUGUCCGGAAUCAUUGGGCGUAAAGAGCGUGUAGGCGGUCCGGUAAGUCGGCUGUGAAAGUCCAGGGCUCAACCCUGGGAUGCCGGUCGAUACUGCCGGACUAGAGUUCGGAAGAGGCGAGUGGAAUUCCCGGUGUAGCGGUGAAAUGCGCAGAUAUCGGGAGGAACACCUAUGGCGAAGGCAGCUCGCUGGGACGUUACUGACGCUGAGGCAUGAAAGCGUGGGGAGCGAACAGG
rnacentral:rRNA from 1 species